rnacentral:lncRNA from 1 species
AUGAAAUUUGAAAAAAGUAGGCAGGACAGGAGUUUUGAGUAAAAAAAAAAGGCAGGAUGAGACAAUUGCCAAAAAAAAAAAGUCAGGACAACAAUUUAGGUAAAAAAAAGUCAGGAUAAACUAAAAAAAAAAAAAAAAGAGGACCAAACAGAGUGAAAAAAUAAAAAGGCAGGACAGAGAUUACAGCUAAAAAAAAAUGCAGGACAAAAUUUUUCAUCCUAGCCCCCCCCCC